AGUGAACGCUGGCGGUAGGCCUAACACAUGCAAGUCGAACGGCAGCACAGUAAGAGCUUGCUCUUACGGGUGGCGAGUGGCGGACGGGUGAGGAAUACAUCGGAAUCUACUUUUUCGUGGGGGAUAACGUAGGGAAACUUACGCUAAUACCGCAUACGACCUACGGGUGAAAGCAGGGGAUCUUCGGACCUUGCGCGAUUGAAUGAGCCGAUGUCGGAUUAGCUAGUUGGCGGGGUAAAGGCCCACCAAGGCGACGAUCCGUAGCUGGUCUGAGAGGAUGAUCAGCCACACUGGAACUGAGACACGGUCCAGACUCCUACGGGAGGCAGCAGUGGGGAAUAUUGGGCAAUGGGCGCAAGCCUGAUCCAGCCAUACCGCGUGGGUGAAGAAGGCCUUCGGGUUGUAAGGCCCUUUUGUUGGGAAAGAAAAGCAGCGGGUUAAUACCCCGCUGUUCUGACGGUACCCAAUGAGUAAGCACCGGCUAACUUCGUG
rnacentral:rRNA from 1 species